rnacentral:rRNA from 1 species
UACGGAGGGUGCAAGCGUUAUCCGGAUUCACUGGGUUUAAAGGGUGUGUAGGCGGGCUUUUAAGUCAGUGGUGAAAUCUCCGGGCUCAACCCGGAAACUGCCAUUGAUACUAUUAGUCUUGAAUUUUGUUGAGGUAGGCGGAAUAAGUCAUGUAGCGGUGAAAUGCAUAGAUAUGACUUAGAACACCAAUUGCGAAGGCAGCUUGCUAAACAAAUAUUGACGCUGAGGCACGAAAGCGUGGGGAUCAAACAGG